GUCUAAUAGCUGCAGGUAAACGGAAACCCAUUUCAAAUGUUUUGAAGAACAAGCUAAAGAUCUCAAAUGUAUCUUAGUUUUGAUGCUCAAGUAUGUGAAUGAGCUGUGAUGGUUGGUUGUGAGGGAAGUUGAUGUAUUUAUAGUCUUCAAGACUUUCUUCAAAUCCAUUUCUUUGAUAAUUAUUGUUGUUAAAGGAUGGGUCCAUUAGAUGAGGAUCACCACAUGGUAUUGUCUUGGACGGUCAAGGGUUAUAUUAUAGCUUGCCCCACCUUCGAAUGAAAGGCCAGUAGAUAGACAACCCACUUGGUAGUCAAAUGAAAUGGCUAGAUUGAACUUAAUGCUUGAUUUAUUAUGAAUACUCGUUUUUUGUUAGACACGCAUUAGACAUGUCACAUGUUUUCUUCAUAUUGAUAACACGGCUCAAUGUUGACAUAUAAGUUCUACUAUUGUGUGAACUCUAAUAUAAUAGAUAGAUAAUGCAUCAUAAUGUAGGGAGGCAACAGGAACUUUCGUCAAAGGCUUGGUCAGCAGUCAAAAUAUAUUAGUAGUACAUGUUUGAACUCACAAGCAGCAGACAUACUGGAUGGACAUUUUUAAGUUCAACAGUCAUAAGUGUCACUGCAACUAUCAUUUAAGUGUCUAACUAGUCAAAGGUCUCCCCAUUUAAAACUGAUAAACUGUUAUGGCGCAUUUUGGAUGAGUUCUAGCUUUAAACAACUGUCAUGACUUUUUCACUUUAAUUUAUGUUUGACUCUUAACUAACAUUCACUUUAUGAAUAGUUGAGGCGAAUUAUUAUAGGCCACUGAGGGAGAAGCUAGGAACUUUUGAUUAAUCUUUUGAUUAACAAAAUACAAAUAUAGUCACUUUCAUAAGUAGUGGAGGGCUGCUAGGAGUUAGACUAAAGGGUUGCCACUCAUUGCGUGCUUUCGACAACAACUUCGACGACAAGUCCACGUGAAGAGCAUGAGAAGCUUUGUGAUUGUGGUCCUUACCACCUUCUUCAAGCAUCACUACAAAAAUGCAACAUAUUGUGUGAUAAGUUAUUGGUAUGUUUCUUAAUUUAUUUCUACGGAGUACUGACUUGCUUCAAAAUUCUAUCAUCUGACAAUCAAGUUAAAUAUCUGGUCGGUUAAAGAAUGGCUUUUCUUUAAAGAGUUUUAUUUUGAUUUUGUUGUAUCAUGUAUAGCAUGGUAAUAUAUACCACUUUGAAUUACAAAUCUAUCAGUAUAUAAUAGCCCGUAUUUCAGUAAAAUUGGUACAUGGCUUGUGUUUGCGCAUGUAAUGAAAGCAUUUAAGAUAACACAACAAGCAACAUAUGAAUUGAAUUCACAAGAAAUAGUUUGAGAUUUCUCAUCAGAUUUCCAUUUAAGAGGAUGCAUAACAAAUUCCUCAAGUACAAAAGUUCCACUGUUAUUUGUUUUCAAUUUCUCUAUGAUUUGAGUUUAGGUUUUGUUCAUUUUGGCUUUGAUUUGCGUUUAGGGUUUGUUUUCCUUUCAAUGCAGGUAGGUGGUGUUCUGACGAUUUUGAAAUGGGGGUGUCUCCUACUUCAACCAAGUAUUAUGUAUAGUUAAAUUCUUGUUCUGAUUUGGUUAUUCUAUCAUUGUUAUUGUUAUGUAUACUUUCAUUUCACUCUUCUCUCUAUUCAUAUAUUCUUCACCAUAUAUAUACAUCAUAGCUUUCAAUUCAAUUCAAUUCUUUGUUAGACAAACAUCAAUUUCACCGUAUAGAUAACAUCAUAGCUUUCAAUUCUAUUAUGUGUUACAAAAACAUGAAAUAAUAGAUUUCCAAUAUGGUUUCUAUCUCAUUCAUAUAAGACUGUUUUCACCCAUUUUCCCAAUAAAAAGGGAAAAGGAAAAUAUCUACAAAAUGUCAAUACUAAUCUAUGUCACUCUCUGCACUCCCUUAUUCAUACACCAUUGAAGCCUGAAGUUAUAUGCAAAAACACAUCUUCUCUGCAAGGAAUUGUGAGGCCACCCAUUGGAUGAUCUAUCCAAAUCCUUCCUGCUUCGCUCAGCAACACUUGAAAUGAAGCUUGGUUCAAGUAUGACAUGGGGAUCACAAACCGCUUCAUUUCUUCUCCCACGUACACCGCAAGACAUCCCUUUGGCACAUUCCUACUUUUGAUGAGUUUGGCUGCUACUUAAUGAAGCACGUCUAUAGCUGCAGGUAAACGGAAGCCCAUUUUAAAUGUUUCAAAACAAGCUUAAGCUCUGAAAUUUAUCUUAGUUUUGAUGCUUGAGUAUGUGAAUGAGCUGUGAUGGUGGUUCUGAGGGAAGAUACGUAUUUAUAGUCUUCAAGACUUUCUCAAAUCCAUUUCUUGAUAAAUUAUUGUUGUUAAAGGACGGGGUCCAUAAGAUGACGGAUCACCACAUGGUUUGCCUUGAACGGUCAAAGUUAUAUAAUAGCUUACCCCACCUUCUGAAUGAAAGGCCAGUAGAUA
rnacentral:lncRNA from 1 species